AUUGAACGCUGGCGGCAUGCUUUACACAUGCAAGUCGAACGGUAACAGGCCUUCGGGUGCUGACGAGUGGCGAACGGGUGAGUAAUGCAUCGGAACGUGCCCAAUCGUGGGGGAUAACGUAGCGAAAGUUACGCUAAUACCGCAUAAGCCCUGAGGGGGAAAGUGGGGGACCGCAAGGCCUCACGCGAAUGGAGCGGCCGAUGUCAGAUUAGCUAGUUGGUGGGGUAAAGGCCCACCAAGGCGACGAUCUGUAGCUGGUCUGAGAGGACGACCAGCCACACUGGGACUGAGACACGGCCCAGACUCCUACGGGAGGCAGCAGUGGGGAAUUUUGGACAAUGGACGCAAGUCUGAUCCAGCAAUGCCGCGUGCAGGACGAAGGCCUUCGGGUUGUAAACUAGCUUUUGUUACAGAACGAAAGGGACGUCUGGUUAAUACCUGGGCAGGAUGACGGUACUGUAAGAAUAAGACACCGG
rnacentral:rRNA from 1 species